UACGUAGGUGGCAAGCGUUAUCCGGAAUUACUGGGCGUAAAGCGCGCGCAGGCGGUCUUUUAAGUUUGACGUGAAAGCUCCCGGCUUAACUGGGAGAGGUCGUUGAAGACUGGGAGACUUGAGGCAAUGAGAGGGGUGUAGAAUUCCUGGUGUAGUGGUGGAAUGCGUAGAUAUCAGGAGGAAUACCAGUGGCGAAAGCGGCACCCUAGCGUUGUUCUGACGCUCAUGUGCGAAAGCGUGGGGAGCGAACGGG
rnacentral:rRNA from 1 species